UACGUAGGGGGCUAGCGUUGUCCGGAAUCAUUGGGCGUAAAGAGCGUGUAGGCGGUCCGGUAAGUCCGUUGUGAAAGUCAGGGGCUCAACCCUUGAAUGCCGGCGGAUACUGUCGGGCUAGAGUCCGGAAGAGGCAAGUGGAAUUCCCGGUGUAGCGGUGAAAUGUGCAGAUAUCGGGAGGAACACCAAUGGCGAAGGCAGCUCGCUGGGACGGUACUGACGCUGAGACGCGAAAGCGUGGGGAGCAAACAGG
rnacentral:rRNA from 1 species